CAACACGUAGACUGCAGCAUUCUGAGAUCCUGACCAGAGAUUCCAGUUAAGCUGUGCCUGGAUUUCUUGACCCAAGAAAACUAACCAUCUAGGUCAUGAAACACGAAUGCAAAACUACCACACCGGGGGAGAUGAAGGAAGCAUGACAACUAAAGGCAAUUUGGAAUCUGGAUUGGAUCUUGGACCAGAAAAAAAGAAAAAAAAAAAGAAUUUAGUGGGUCAGAAGGGAAACUCAAAAACUAGAUAAGGCUUGUAGAUAUUAUAAUAGCAUCAUAUUAAUGUUAACUUUCUGGUUUCAAUAUCUUAUUGUGAUUAGGUAGAUGUUAACAUUAGGGAAACUAGGUAAAGGAUGGGCAGAAGAAGUGACUGUACUAUUUUCUGGGGGGCCCAGGAUUUUGUAGGAAUCUAACAUUAUUUCAAAAUAAAAACCUUUAGAAAUGUGUCCUAAGCCUUGGUUUACAUAAGAACACAAACAAGCAAACAAACAAAAACUCAGGAAAUUGAUAAUGUUCAAAGUGACAAGGCAGAGGGGGAUUUAUUCCUUAGAAGAAUCAGAGGCAGUUCCCUAUUUCCUGUAAAAGAAUGUUUUACAGUUCUAAAACCAGUCACCAUUUUGCUCAAUAGGGAAAUAAUCAUGGAGUAUUAUAAUGCCAUGUAUGUUUUGAAAAUGCAAUUAAUGAAAAAAAUGACCUAAAGACGUACCAAUCAGUAACGUGUCAUAUUAAUGACUGUGCCGUUACAAUCUUUUAUGUUCAAGUGCAUAGUCUGCUUAGUUUUGGAAAUUCUCCCAAAACACAAUCUUUGACAUAAAAAGCAGUGUCUUCUAAAAUUUGGGAAGCCAUCUAAGCUGAAAUCCAAAUACAUGUCCCAGUCUCACAUUAAAAUAAAAAAGUAGGUCAUUUGAUUUCCCUUACCUGAAACCGUGUGAUCCUUAGAGUCUCUUGUUAUUUUUAUCCUUGCGUGAGGAAAGAUGUAGUGCACAGUCUUCCCGUUCAUCUGUAUAAUCUAAGACAUAUAUGUGAUAAGGUGAAAAAUCAAUGUUUAAAGACAAAGUGUAAUAUACAGGAUUAGACUUGUUUUUUAAGUGUGUUGGUUUAGUUAAUAAAAGAUUUCAUUAACUGUUUCCCCUUGGCAAAAUGAGAUUUCUGAAACCAAACAAAUUAGUGAAUGCAAACUUGUGUCUUCUGUUUUAUGGAACUUGGCUUCUAAAUGAGAUUUGUGAAAUAAUGAAAGAUAAAAACAGUGAAAUAUUUGCUCAUAUCUGCCUUAAUAGGAUUUUAUUAGGAUGAAAUCUUCUAUCACCUUGGAAAAAUGUGAAUGAAAUUACAAACAAAAUUAAGUUUACUAAAGACGUUUAAGAAGUGCCUGAGUGGCUCAGUUAAGCUUCUUACUCUUAAUCUCAUGGAUCGAUUCAUGAGAUGAGUCCCACGUGGGGCUCUGAACUGACAGCACGGAGCCUGCUUGGGAUUCUCACUCUCCUCUCUCUCUCUGCACCAACCCCCAACUCUCUUCCCUGGCUGAGCACACACAUGUACUCUCUCAAAAUUAACAAAUAAACAUUAACAAAAAAAGAAGAAGUGUGUGAGAGUACUGAACCAAAAUAUUAAAUAGAAUUUAGAACUCAAGAGAGGUUGACUUUGUGAGGAAGGGUCUUUGAAUACUCGAGUGGUUUUAAUGUGUAAAUCCAGAUGUAAGAAUGUGAGAAUUCUAUCGCUAGAAUUUUACAUAUUAAAAGUAACAUAUGCAUUGAAAACUGCAAGCUUAAAUUAUAGCCUUUUGCCUUUAUUCUCUUUAGGAAAGAAUAAGCUUAAUCAGGUUUCUGAUGAACAGAAAACAUUCCCCAAACAACAGCAGAAUCCUGUGGAGUCCAGGAAUAGUAUAUGAUUUCUUCAAAGUAAAACUGAAAUGUUGUCUGCAAGAUUAUAAACCUAUUAUGCUUGCCUUUUGGGGUUAUGAUCUAAAGCCCUGAUUCACAAGCCAAGAAUGACUCAGGACAGAGUUGGCAGGACGCUCUCUGGGUUAUUCCUUCCAUCUUCCUUCCUUCCUACCAGAGAAAAAAAUAGAAAAAAGAAAAGCUCCCCAACAUAUAUGCCAUACUUGUUUUGGAUGUUAAAGAUUCGUACCUGCAAAAAAACAAGUUUAAUGGAAUUUACUUCUUCCCAUGAAGCCAAAAAUGAAAUGGGUAAACUCUCAAUUAUUCUUAUUAUCCUUAUACUAAAAAUGUAAUUUGAUUUCAAUUAAGACAGGGCAAAUUGUAAACUAAAAUCCUAUGCUAUGACUGGAUUGACUUGAUAUUAUAAAGUCAGCCAUUAAGUUGGCAAGCUGACAGAAUCAACUUUUUUCGGACUUUGGCAUGUAACAAAAAUCUUAAUGCAAAGAGGGGAAUGCUUAUAGAAGAAAGAGACUGUUAUCAUUUCGUAAUAAAGUACUGUGUUUUUUGCUUACUGUAUACUCACAGCUCAAAUUCCAGUUCACAUACAAUAUGUAGAUAGAAAAUCAACUAGGAUAUAGGAGACUUGAAAAAUCUUAAGCCUAUCAGAUCUACCUAAUAGACACAUAUAGAACAUUUCACCCAACAACAUUAAAAUACACACUUUCUCAAGUGUACUUGAAAUAUUCUCCAAAUAGACCAUAUCUUAGACUGCAAUCCUCUGCAGUGUUAAAGUUAUAGAAAUGAUACAAAUGUAAUUAUUCUGAAAUGAAGAUAGAAAUCAAUAAAGGAAAACUAAAAAAAAAAGUCACAAAUAUGUAAAAAUUAACAAUAUACUUUUGAACAAGAAAUGAAAUCCAAAAGGAAUGAGAGGAAAUUAGAAAAUAUUUUAAGAUGAAUGAAAAUAAAAACAAGAUGCCAAAGCAUGAGAUCCAGUGAAAGCAAUUCUUAAAGAAAAAUUUAUAGCUGCAAUGCAUACAUUAAAAAGAAAAAAAAAAUCUCAAAUCAAUAAUCUAACUUGACAUCUAAGGAACUCUGAAAAGAACAAGCUAAAUCUAUAGCUGGAAAAAGAAAACUUAAUAAAGUUUAGAGUAGAGAUAGAGCAUAUGUAACAAAAUAGAAUCAACAUCAAAAAUGGGUUCUUUGUAAAGAUCAGGAGAGUAGGCAAAAUUUUAACUAGACUGACAAAGAGAAAAGAGAGGACCAAAAACCUAGAACUAAAGAAGAAGAUGGCGGUGUAGGAUGCUGGGCUCACCUCAUCCUGCUGAUCACUUAGAUUCCACCCACACCUACCUAAAUAACCCAGAUAACACCAGAAGACUAGCAGAAUGGACUCUCCAGAGCCAAGUGUAGAUGAGAGGACCAUGGAAGAGGGUAGGAAGGGUGGAGAGGUCGUGAGUACUACACAGACUGGCAGGGGGGAGCCGGGAUGGUGGUGGGGGAACCCGCCCCACAAGGCAGGGCCCCGAAAUCUGGCUUGCAAAAGUGGAGGGGCCGGAUGGAGUGUGUUCUGACAGCCAUUAGGA